AAAAUUCACAAUGCAGAGGUACUUCCUCUUUGUGCUGAUGUCAUUUAUACUUUCUGCAUUGAUGAUAGUAUAGCAAAAUCAUAGGAAAAAUGAUUCUAUUGUCAAAUCUGUUCAGUCUACUCAAUGGUUGAUUGUAAACAACUUAUUCUAAUCACAGUAGUGACAUAGAGAAAACACAGAUGGGGGCAUUGGGACUAUUAUACUUUAUUCUUUUUUCCUUUUUACAUCUUUUGGCUUGUUUCAGCCUAAUUAAUUCUUCACUUUCAUAUGACACGUCUCCUUUAGACAAAUAGACAAGUUAAUUAUAUUUUCAUGCCUAAUUAAGUUUGGCUUUCUAACUAAAGCAUGAUUCUUCAUAUAAUAAUUUGUUAUAUUGCCAAAUUGCAAAAUCAAUGUUAGUUUGAUGAUUUGAAAUGUUCUUAAAUCAAUUGUUCCCCUGCCUAUAAAAGCUUUUCAUGUUUUGCAGGAGCCUAUAUAUACUAAUUUCUUCUCUUAGAAUCUUGUUCAUUUUUUCCUCUUGCCUUUUGGGGGGUAGAUUUGUGGAAUUAUCAAUGUUGAAAUGCCUUCUCUCUAUAUAUUUGUUUAUUGCUUUUAGUUUUCCAUAUGAUAUUUGUUGAUGAGUUGGAUGUAGGUGCUAUUUCGUGAGGAUGCCACAGUUGAUGAUCUCAU
rnacentral:misc_RNA from 1 species